UCUCACAACUGUAGGUAUAACGGUUUUCAUCUUUAUUUUACAUGGGAAGAAACUGAGGCACAAAGUUGAUAAAUAUCUUGAUCAAAAGUAUCAUCUCAUGAAUGGCUGUCCUGCAGUGAAAAUCCAAGCACCAAACCCUACCACUUACUUAAAUCUGUGAAAGUGCUUUCAAAUCACAAAAGCCAAAUAGAUGGAAAAUGAAUAAAUAUAAAAAGAAAUGAAUGUCCGCCCUGAGAAAAACGAAAACUUAGUUGAUUUCUGAAAUUUCUCUGAUUUUAUGCAUUCUGAAGCAUCAUCUCUCGUGAAUGUUUUUCUUCAUAAUACUGAGAAGGACAGAUGGGAAUUCGUGCCUUCUCUCCACUGAAAGCAACAGGGAGAAAGCCUUGGAGCUGUGAACCCUUCCUUUUGUUUACUCUGCCUGGCCACCCGCCCAUCGCAGCCUCUUGGAUCUCUCCCGGAGAGCUUUGAUGGCAGCUCUUCUGAAGGUCAGUUAUUUGCAUACUCGUUAACACACAUCCUGCAGGGCAAGCAAGGACAAGGAGAGCUAUGGAAACUUAAAUGAAACCAUUCAGGUGGAGCUGUAAAUAAGGAUCCGAUAGGACCAAGCUAGAAAUGACAGACUUCUGCUGUUUGACUUUUGGUUGUGGGGCAAUAAGGAAUUUUCCUCUUUAUAUUGUU